AUUAGAUAAUUGUUGUACAAUCUGCAAGAGCCUCUUUCUGUGCCACAAGAAGCAGAUUCCCAAAGAAUGCAACUUUGGUCGAUGAAGAUUCCAAAGAGCAAUGGUGCUGGAGCCGUGCCUAAAAGUCUAACUUUUAUCCACUGAAUGCCCAGAGCAAAUGAACGCUGACUGUCUUGAACACAUCUACAAAUUAAACAAUUAAUUAAAACUACGCCGUUAUCUCCAAUUACAGAUUUACAAAAUUAAAUUAAGUUUGUGUAUAAAUUUAAGGACCUUAGCGUGGCUGUAAGUGCAGGGGUUGUCCCCAUAAAAGUGCACAGCAUGACCAGAAAGGCGAGACAAAUGAAGGGAAUUAAGAGCGAGCAUGAGGACGGGCACAUCUGGUUGGUCGCCUCCACUGCUCCAUUGUCAGUGAAGUUCUGUGGGAUGCACUUGCAGUCUGAGUAAACCUUCACAUAAUUGCAUCAAGUUAGUAAAAAGAGUAGUGCCGGAUAUUGGCUGCACAUUUACCUUGACAUCUCCAAGCCUGGACUCAUUCGAGCAGCCAGCAAAACAGGGGGAAUAGUAAAGAAUCUUGUCAGCGCCACAAACUGGGUCGAACACAUUUGGUGAACAGUGGCAAUCCUCAUUACAAGGUGCAUAGAGAGACAUAUUGGGAGAGCUACAAAAUUAAAACCAUUAUUUUUAUUAAAUAAAUUUAUAAAAUCGUAAGGCUUUUUUAAUGUUUUUAUAACUUUUUUUUGUUAAAAUCACACACCUGAUAUUUUCGUAACCAACAGUGAUUCCUGCCAUUGACACAUUUGGACAGUGCAAGAAAAAGGUCAGGGUGAAACAAGCAGCAAUUGAGGCUGUAGUCAUGCAGAGUUUGAUGAUCCCGGCACAUGACAAAUUUAGUUUUUUGACCAGAUACCCUCCUAAAAAGGUGCCGCCACCACCAGCAGGAACUGUCACUGCACCUAAUAAGUUCAAAGUUUUACCUGGGAGCUCAGCUGGAAAAGCAAGAAGAGGAAUGGCAAGAAGAGCACAGACUGCUGCCGAGGUCACAAAACCAAUCCACCAGGCUCCAAUCCACAAAUUGCUGUCUGGCGUGAGUCCCAGUCUGAAUUGGAAAAGGUCAGCAGUAAAAACGUCUGUGUAGAUGCUGAGCAACUGGCCGCCUAAAACAAACCCAAUUGCCGGGCCAAGAAUCGCCAUGGUGUAGAAAAUGCCUAAAAACCAAUUCAAGUGAGUUGAUUCAGCGCGCGGCAAGAGAUGGAAUUGCUACCAAUAUAAACGGACGACAUCUUCUUGGAGACGUUCUCAUCUAUGUAAGUGACCCCGAGGGUGUAGAGGGGCGACGCACCUGCACCGUGCAGCAGCUGCCCAAUGAAGAAGAACCAGAAUGCUUUCACGUAGAAGCCCGACUGGCCAAACGACUUUUCGCCAGAGUCCGCGUCGCACUCGUCCGAUCCACUGAACAAAAGAACUUGCGCAUAAAUUUCCUCGAAUUAUAUUUGCCGUUUAAAUUUUGGCAUACCUUAAACUUGAAUUUCCAAGUGGGUCUGGUAGGAAGCAGGUGCCUAUUUUCUCCGUUCCGAGCUCUCUCAAUGGGCCGGCGACAAAGUGUGGAAGACCAAAAAUGAAGGAGCUGAAAUUUAAUUUCAAAUUUAUUGUAGAUAAUUGGAAAAAAGUUUAUAUCACUA